GGAAUCUUCCACAAUGGACGAAAGUCUGAUGGAGCAACGCCGCGUGAGUGAAGAAGGUUUUCGGAUCGUAAAACUCUGUUGUUGGAGAAGAACACGUUUGAGAGUAACUGUUCAGACGUUGACGGUAUCCAACCAGAAAGCCACGGCUAACUACGUGCCAGCAGCCGCGGUAAUACGUAGGUGGCAAGCGUUGUCCGGAAUUAUUGGGCGUAAAGCGCAUGUAGGCGGUGCCUUAAGUCUGUCGUGAAACUGCGGGGCUUACCCCCGUAUGGCGAUGGAAACUGAGGCACUUGAGUGCAGGAGAGGAAAGGGGAACUCCCAGUGUAGCGGUGAAAUGCGUAGAUAUUGGGAAGAACACCGGUGGCGAAGGCGCCUUUCUGGACUGUGUCUGACGCUGAGAUGCGAAAGCCAGGGUAGCGAACG
rnacentral:rRNA from 1 species